rnacentral:rRNA from 1 species
CAAGACUUGACAUCUCCUGAAUAGCCUAGAGAUAGGUGAAGCCCUUCGGGGCAGGAAGACAGGUGGUGCAUGGUUGUCGUCAGCUCGUGUCGUGAGAUGUUGGGUUAAGUCCCGCAACGAGCGCAACCCCUGUCGUUAGUUGCCAUCAUUAAGUUGGGCACUCUAGCGAGACUGCCGAGGUUAACUCGGAGGAAGGUGGGGAUGACGUCAAAUCAUCGUGCCCCUUAUGUCUUGGGCUACACACGUGCUACAAUGGCCGGUACAGAAAGAAGCGAACCCGUGAGGGGGAGCAAAUCUCAAAAACCGGUCCCAGUUCGGAUUGUAGGCUGCAACUCGCCUACAUGAAGCCGGAGUUGCUAGUAAUCGCGGAUCAGCAUGCCGCGGUGAAUACGUUCCC